rnacentral:RNase_P_RNA from 1 species
GUUAUCGGGUAAUCGAGCGCUUCGGCGUUAGGAAAGUCCAUGCUAGCACAAGCUGAGACGCUUGUAGUGAUUGUGCUAAACGAACAAAUAAGUUUAGGCACCCAAAAGGUGACGGCGAAGAAAUGGAUGUUAAAGGCCAGAGUAUUCAAAAUGUGCCACAGUGACGAUGCAUACAAAACAUGUAUGAGUGAAACGGGUAAACCCCUCAAGCUAGAAACCCAAACUAUGGUAGGGGCAUGGUCAAUUGAGAAAUGAAUCAAGAGACUGGUGAUUUCGGUCAGAGAUAAAUGAUUGCCGGCUUUAAACAGCUACAGAACAUGGCUUACAGAU